UGGAGUUCAAUUCGUACCCUUUGCAAAACCGAAGACCCAGUACGAAAAAUGUCUUUGAUGGAUCAAACUUUGUGGAAGACCGUACGAUCAACAGAAUCCAUCAACCGGAACAGAUAUGUUUGCACAAAGAUGACGACUUUUGAACCUUGGGAGAGAAAAGGCUGACUGCACAAUUACUGUGUUGACCUGCUGCUCCUAGUCCCCCGAGAUGUACGGGAGAAGCAAAGAGAGCCUUACUCUUCGAGUUCACCCUUCACAGUCCUGUUUAAGAAGUUGUUCCCUUUCUGUCUGGACCCUGCACCUGCAGUCUUUUGAAACUCCUUGACCAAAAAAACAUUUUUGCUUCAACUACAGCCUUAGCCACCAUCGUAAAAAAAUAUCUGCAUCACAGCAGGCUGUGUGCACUCAUCCUAAUAAAAGUUUGUUUCCAUGAAGAUGCAUUCAGGGGGGGAAAAUGCAUAGAAUUUAAUAGAUUCACCCUGGCACCUAAUUCAUUGCUUUUUGUUUUGCCCACAGUGAAAAAAACACCUAAAAUAUAAUGAAAAACAUUGUCAUUUAAAAGCUCUGGGAAAACCGGAUCAACAGUCAUUCAAAUGCAGGCAAAAUAUACCUCUGACCUUCUUGUCUUGUUAAGCUUUAAGGUAGACAUUUUUA